GCCCCUGCCUGCGCUGAGGCUGCCGAGCCUGAGAAAUCCCAAAAGGGGCCUCGGCGGCGGGCUCUGGAUCCCGCUGGGGGGCUCUGACCCUGCCAAGUCUGGGCACUCCGCUGCGGGCCUCCUGGCUCCCGGGGUUCAUGGCUGUUAUGGUUCCUGGCUGUCGGGGCUCCUGGCUUUCGGGGCUCCCUGGCUGAAGGGGCUCCUGGCUGUAGGGGCUCCUGGCUAUGGAGGUUCCCGGUUAUAAGGGCUUCUGGAUGUAGUGGAUUCUGGCCGUCGAGGUCCCUGGCUGUCGGGGCUCCUGGCCGUAAUGGCCCCUGGCUGUCGGGACCCCUGGGUGUCGGGGUUCCUGGCUGUCGGGACCCCUGGGUGUCGGGGUUCCUGACUGUAGGGGCUCCUGGGUGUUAGGGUUCCUGGCUAUAGCAGGGGCUCCUGGGUGUCGGGGUUCCUUGCUGUCAGGGCUCCUGGUGGUAGAGGCUUCUUGCUGUUGGCUUCCUGGCUGUCGGGGUGACUGGGUGUCAGGGCUCCUGGUGUUAGGGUUCCUGGCUUCCUGGCUGUAGUAGGGGCUCCUGGGUGUCGGGGUUCCUUGCUGUCAGGGCUCCUGGUGGUAGAGGCUUCUGGCUGUUGGGGUUCCUGGGUGCCAGGGCUCCUGGGUGUCAGGGUUCCUGGCUGUCAGGACACCUGACUCCUGAGGCUCCUGGCUUUUGGGGCUCCAGACCUUCCUUGCACUUCCUGUGUCUCCUGGGUCUGUAAUAGAAGGGGCCGGUGGAGGGGUGGGGGUGAGACAUGUGAGUGAAAGUGAAGUCAGAUGUGUACAUUUAGGAAGCUGAAAUUAUCAAAAAUGAAAUUGCAUAAAGGUGAGGAAGAACUGGGAGGUCUGGGAACAG
rnacentral:lncRNA from 1 species